GACGAACGCUGGCGGCGUGCCUAAUACAUGCAAGUCGAACGCAGUGGGGACGGGUGAGUAACACGUGGGUAACCUCCCAUCAGAGGGGAAAACGCUUGGAAACCGGUGCUAAACCGAUACUGAUGGAUGGACCCGCGGGGCAUUAGCUAGUGGGGGAGGUAACGGCUCACCAAGGCCACGAUGCAUAGCCGAGCUGAGAGGGUGAUCGGCCACACUGGGACUGAGACACGGCCCAGACUCCUACGGGAGGCAGCAGUGGGGAAUAUUGGGCAAGGGGCGAAAGUCUGACGGAGCAACGCCGCGUGAGUGAAGAAGGUUUUCGGUUUGUAAAACUCUGUUGUUAGAGAAGCGGUAUCUAACCAGAAAGCAACGGCUAACUCCGUGCCAGCAGCCGCGGUAAUAC
rnacentral:rRNA from 1 species